rnacentral:tRNA from 1 species
AAGGAUUUAAGUUAAGCAAACUAAUAACCUUCAAAGUUGUAAAUAGAAAGGAAUUCUAAGCCUUA